rnacentral:lncRNA from 1 species
CCAAAGAGGAAAGAAGGUGAAAUAUACAUGCCUUUUGUACAAGUGGAGUACCUUGACUUUCUUUGUCAUGCUUGUGGCCUCAUUCUUCUUCUCCUAAUUCAAAAAGAAUGAGGUGUAGAGAAAAAGAGACUAUAUUCAAGCACUAUGCUUUCCCAUAACAAUAUGUAAAAGUAUAAUUAAAACAAAGUUUACCUUUUUUAUGAGCUAAUGCUUAGAAAAAAUAGGCAAUCAAAAUUCAGGCAAUAAGAAAUGAAUAAGUAAUCACUAGGGCUGGAGACUAAGAUAGGAAGAUUAGAAAACAUAUUAAAACUUUC